CGGCGGACGGGUGAGUAACGCGUGGGUAACCUGCCUCAUACAGGGGGAUAACAGUUAGAAAUGCUGCUAAUACCGCAUAAGACCACAGCACCGCAUGGUGCAGGGGUAAAAACUCCGGUGGUAUGAGAUGGACCCGCGUCUGAUUAGGUAGUUGGUGGGGUAACGGCCUACCAAGCCGACGAUCAGUAGCCGACCUGAGAGGGUGACCGGCCACAUUGGGACUGAGACACGGCCCAA
rnacentral:rRNA from 1 species